GACGAACGCUGGCGGCGUGCUUAACACAUGCAAGUCGAACGAAGUGGCGAACGGGUGAGUAACGCGUAAUCAACCUGCCCUUCAGAGGGGGACAACAGGUGGAAACGACUGCUAAUACCGCAUAAUGAAGGUGGGGCUUGAGUCUGAUUAGCGAGUUGGAGGGGUAACGGCCCACCAAGGCGAUGAUCAGGAGCCGGUCGGAGAGGAUGAGCGGCCCCAUUGGGACUGAGAGCCGGCCCAGACUCCUACGGGAGGCAGCAGUGGGGAAGCUUCCGCAAUGGACGAAAGUCUGACGGAGCAACGCCGCGUGAGUGAGGACGGCCUGCGGGUUGUAAAGCUCUUUUAAUCGGGACGCGGUACCGGAAUAGAAAGCCACGGCUAACUACGUGCCAGCCGCCGCGGUAAUAC
rnacentral:rRNA from 1 species